rnacentral:rRNA from 1 species
CCUACGGGUGGCUGCAGUGGGGAAUAUUGCACAAUGGGCGAAAGCCUGAUGCAGCAACGCCGCGUGAAGGAAGAAGGGUUUCGGCUCGUAAACUUCUAUCAUCAGGGACGAAACAAGUGACGGUACCUGAGUAAUAAGCCCCGGCUAACUACGUGCCAGCAGCCGCGGUAAUACGUAGGGGGCAAGCGUUAUCCGGAUUUACUGGGUGUAAAGGGAGUGUAGGCGGGGAGGUAAGUCAGAUGUGAAAGCCUGGGGCUUAACCGGGGGACUGCAUUUGAAACUGUUAUGCUUGAGUACAGGAGAGGCAAGCGGAAUUCCUAGUGUAGCGGUGAAAUGCGUAGAUAUUAGGAGGAACACCAGUGGCGAAGGCGGCUUGCUGGACUGAAACUGACGCUGAGGCGCGAAAGCGUGGGGAGCAAACAGGAUUAGAUACCCCAGUAGUC